rnacentral:rRNA from 1 species
GAUGAACGCUGGCGGCGUGCCUAAUACAUGCAAGUCGAGCGAACAGACGAGAGUGCUUGCACUCUCUGACGUUAGCGGCGGACGGGUGAGUAACACGUGGGUAACCUACCUAUAAGACUGGGAUAACUUCGGGAAACCGGAGCUAAUACCGGAUAAUAUUUAGCUUCGCAUGAAGCAAUAGUGAAAGACGGUUCUGCUGUCACUUAUAGAUGGACCCGCGGUGUAUUAGCUAGUUGGUGAGGUAGCGGCUCACCAAGGCAACGAUACAUAGCCGACCUGAGAGGGUGAUCGGCCACACUGGGACUGAGACACGGCCCAGACUCCUACGGGAGGCAGCAGUAGGGAAUCUUCCGCAAUGGACGAAGGUCUGACGGAGCAAUGCCGCGUGAGUGAAGAAGGUUUUCGGAUCGUAAAACUCUGUUGUAAGGGAAGAACAAGUACGUUAGUAACUGAACGUACCUUGACGGUACCUUACCAGAAAGCCACGGCUAACUACGUG